GUCACGAAAGAAGCAGCCAAAGCUGUUUUGGUAUCUUCGUCGUCGCCCUAACCCUAAUCACCCCAUCACCACCCACCCCUCCCCCCAAAUCGAACCAUCGUCAUGGCCAGCGAGGAGUCGCCGUCGCCGACCUCAAGCGGCAAGCACUGCCGUUCGGCAGACGAUCAUGAGGCCGAGACAUCGUCGAAGCGACGGAAGCACCGUCACCGUCACCAUCACCGCCAUCACAGCAGACGCGGUCGCGAGAGUGAUGACGGGGCCGAGGAGGCCGCUCGGCUUGCGGAGGCGGUGACUGCUUCUUGUCCCGUUCCGAAGCCUGCUGAUGAGGAGCGAGAGGAGGGUGAGAUUCUCGAAGAUGACGAGGAGAUGGCCAACCUUGAUCAUACUAAAGUCGAUGGCUUCGUGACCGAUGGGGUUUCCGACUCUGGAUCGGGUGAAAUCAAGCCUGACGGCGUCGAUGUUUAUUCCAAUCUGAUUGUGCCUGGGGUGAAAGAUAGUUCUGGGAAAAAUGUUAUGGUGCUUAGUCAUAAGCAGAACACACUGAAAGAUGAAAAGAUGUUGGACCUUGCUUGGUCAUGUGAGAAUUCUAGUUUGAAUGAUACAGCUUGGAUGGAGGUAGAUACAUCAGAUGGAGAAAAUUGUGUCUGGAAGGCUGAGAGUAUAACAAAACCAUUAGAACUAAAUGACAACAAGCAAAUGCAAACUGACAGAAAUGAUUCAGAAAGUCAAGUAAGAUCAAGAUCUCCGGUUUCUAAGGAAAGUUCUCAUGCAGCAAAGGACAGGAUGAGUUAUGACCAUGUGAAAAAAACUUCUGACAGUGACUCAGAGAAGGUUGACUCAAAGCAGUAUAUGGAGUCAAAGGAUGCUAACAGAAGAGCAACUGAUAGGAACAGGUCAGUGUCGCCCAAAAGUUCACAAGAAAGGUACAGGAACACUAGAAGGUCUCCAGCAUCCAUCAGGUACCAUGAUGAAGACAAAUAUAGGGAUAAGUCCAGGCCUAUUGAUCAUAGAAAGAGGAGAUCAUAUGAAAAGGUCUCAGAGCAUUCAGACAUGGGUGAUGAUCAAGUUGGUUUGCAGGAAAGUAAGAGGGAUUAUUCCAAUAGGCAGCAUAAGUUGGACAGAUGUGCAGCUAGAAAUCGAGUAAGUGAUAUAGAGAUUCCUAACGAAAGAGAGAGUAGUGGCAAAAGAAGACAUGAUGACAGGCACAGAAGUCGGGAAAGAGAUAGGGAGAGGGAAAGAAGUAGUAGUAGUGUCAGAGACACAGAUAAAACACAGUUGGAUAAAAGGUCUCACAGGGAAAAAGAGAGGAGUAGCAGUCAUAGCAGAUAUGACAGACAAGCAGACAAGCAUGAAAUUUGGGACAGAGAAAGUGGGAAAGAAAAAUACAGCUUCAGCACAAGAGACAGAGUAAGAGAUAAACCAAGGGAUUUGAAUAGGGAGAAAUAUGUAGAGAGGGAGAGGUUCAGGGAGAGUAAGCAUGAAAAAAAACGGGAUGAUAGUGAUAGAGAUAAGAAUAAGUCUAGGGACAGGGAAAUUAUUGCUCAUAAGGGUAAAGAACAUGGUGAUCAAAUGGAAACAGAUAGGAUUAGUAGCAGGUAUAGACAUAGGGAAUCUAGGCAUCCAAAGUACGAUGAAGUAGAGCAUCACAAGGAUAAAUCACGUUCGGAGGCUGGUUUCAAGAAAGACAAUUCUGACAAAGACACACAAAAGUCUAUUAGGGAGGAGGAGGAAGAGGAAGACUACCAAGAUAAAAUUGAACAACAACUUGCCAAGCAGGAUGAAGAUGAUGUUGACAUGAUUAAAAAUGAGAGCAGAAAAAGGAGGCAGGCUAUCUUGGAAAAAUAUCGACAGCGGCAGCUGCGGCAAGUUGAAUCCUCAUCUGAUGGUAAUGUGAAUGAAUCUGAGAAAGCCACUUCGGAUAAGGAGAAUCUACAGGGAUUGCUUGCUAUGAGUGUUGAUAACAAAGUGAAUAAUGAAGAGCUUGAGAAUAGGGAUGACUCCAGAAAUGUAUUUGAUGUUGGUCCAUCGUUUUCUGUGGGAAAGUCACCUGUACAGAAUGGAGAUUUAGCUGAUAAGAAAAUGAACAAUGUUGGGGGACUUGGAGAGGGUACUCCAAAGAGUGAAAUAUCAGCCGAUAUGUUUACUGAUGACAUGUUUGGAGAAUCACCAGCUGGAGUUUGUGUGAAGGGAAAGUGUGAAGGACCACAGAUAGACAGAAGUUAUCUUCAUGACAACUGGGAUGAUGCAGAGGGUUAUUAUAGUUACAGGUUUGGGGAAGUACUCGAUGGUCGCUAUGAAGUUGUUGCAGCACAUGGAAAGGGUGUCUUCUCAACAGUUGUUCGUGCUAGGGAUCUCAAGGCUGGGAAAGGUGACCCUGAAGAAGUGGCUAUUAAAAUGAUUCGCAACAAUGAUACCAUGUACAAGGCAGGUCAGGAUGAACUUGUUAUAUUGAAGAAAUUGGUAGGCGCUGAUCCCGAGGACAAACGUCAUUGUGUUAGGUUUCUUUCAUCUUUCAAGUAUCGGAAUCAUCUUUGCUUAGUUUUUGAAUCUCUUCAUAUGAACCUUCGUGAGGUUCUAAAGAAAUUUGGUCGUAACAUUGGGCUAAAACUGACUGCUGUGAGGGCCUAUGCAAAGCAGCUUUUCAUUGCGCUGAAGCAUCUCAGAAAUUGUGGCGUUCUGCACUGUGACAUUAAACCGGAUAAUAUGCUGGUAAAUGAGCCCAAAAAUGUGCUCAAGCUUUGUGAUUUUGGCAAUGCUAUGUUCGCGGGUAAGAAUGAGAUUACACCCUACCUUGUUAGCCGCUUUUACCGUGCCCCAGAAAUAAUUCUUGGAUUGCCAUAUGAUCAUCCAAUGGAUGUGUGGUCGGUUGGUUGCUGUCUAUAUGAACUGUACACAGGGAAAGUACUCUUUCCUGGCCCAUCAAACAAUGACAUGCUUCGACUACACAUGGAGUUAAAGGGUCCUUUCCCCAAAAAGAUGCUUCGGAAGGGUGCCUUCACAGAUCACCAUUUUGAUCAAGAUUUAAAUUUUCAUGCCACUGAGGAGGAUCCUGUUACAAAGAAGCCUGUUAAGAGACUGCUGAUAAAUAUUAAGCCAAAGGACAUCGGCGCUCUCAUGUCAGGCUUUUCUGAGGAGGAUCCCAAAAUGUUAUCAAAUUUUAAGGAUCUUCUAGAUCGAAUAUUUGUAUUGGAUCCAGAAAAGAGGAUGACAGUAUCUCAGGCAUUAAGUCAUCCAUUUAUCACGGGCAAGUGAAAUAAGAUGCUGAUUUUCCUGACUCUAGAAAUGUUGUUCAGCUAUGAGUCUACCAUGUGAUCUAUAUUGAUAUUUCCCAUCUAAUUCUUCGGCGUUUAUUCUGUCUUUUCACUGCUUGGUGGAGCUUGGUGGAUCGCGUUGAAGAGGAGUUGAAAGGAUCAUUUGUUUUAAAGCCUUUCUUCAUGGGAGUUCUUAACAUGGGAUGUGUUUCUGUUUCUUGGUUCUGCCAGGGCUAUGUGGCUAUCAACAGUGUUUUAGAUGCUAGAAGACAACCAAAAAAAGAUGGGAGAUUGCUGGAAGCAUUGCUUGUGCUGUUGAAAUCAAUGGUUUGUUUGCUAACCUUCCAACAAUUCAGUUUGUUGCUUACGUCUGGUCUAAUUUAUCUGUCUACAAAUGAUGGGACUUGGCUUGAAUUUUCAAAUAAGAUGUUAAAAAUUUGGGAUGGUAUAGUGAAUCACUUGCCUAUAGAUUUUAUAUACUUCAAUUUUUUUAAGCUUGAAUCAAUGGAAUUCUAUAUAUGCCUGUCAUGGAGUUUCAGUUGCACAUUAUGAUGUGUCUAUGACAUGUCUUUAUAUUUCAUUACAACACCACCUUUGGAAUCUUUGGUUCAUGUUAACAAAUUUAGGAUUGCUGUUCACUAUUCAGCUUGUGCAGCUAAGGCUACUAUUACUGUUGGUAAUUGGUAGAAUACUUUGUAAAUAUGGACGAGCCCUGUUAAAGAGGUGAACCUUUUCUUGUACAUUUGGCUCAAAUGCAGCAGCACCUAUAUCCCUUUGAAUAUUUUUUUCUUAGUUUUUUAUGAUGUCUAGCUUUUCUUGUGUUUCCUUUUCUUCGAUCCUCUCUUUCUUCUCUCUCUCAUCACUAUGCUGCUUUGCCACCAACCUCCUCCACUUUGCUGUCAUUGCUUUGCUGUAUGGCAACUUUAUUCCUUCACUAUCCUUCAUGCGUGUUGCUUUCCCUCUAGUACACCUUUGCCUAGGGUUUGAUUUAUUGAUGCGUAUUGCUCGGUAUGGGUGGUACGUAACAGUCCGAUAGGAUAUCGGUACGCGGACCGCCCUCUAUUGGGCGGUACCGGUUACUUGACGCUCGAUACGAGGUCUGUACUGGGUGGUAACAGUCAAAAUCCAAUUGUUACCGACCUGUACCGGUCGGUACACUCGGAUUUUGAUCGUUAUCGAAUAAGGGCUGUGAUUGUUCUAUUUCAAAUGGUCAAUUUGAUCGUCCGAGGCUUAGAAAAAGGUUUUUAAAUCCUUUUUUCCUUCUUUCAACUCAUUUCACUCUCUCAAUCUCUUACACUCUUUCUAACUCUUUUUCACUCGUAUCUCUCUCUUGUUUUCACAUUUUCACUCUCCUAAACUCAACAAAGCUAUGAUUUGUGGAUUGGAUCAAAUUUAGGAGGUUACUUUGGGAGGUUUAAGAGGAAGAACACUCUAAUCAAUGGGUUUGUAUUUUUUUUCUAGAUUUUUAUUGAUUUAUGAGAGGAUUAAGCCUAUUCUAUGUGGUGUAUGACUUAAUGUCUAAUAUGUUGUUUGAUAUAUUUUUGAUGGUAAAAUAAUAUUAAUUAGGGAGUAAUUAAGGUUUUUGAUGUUGUGAUUAGUGUGUUUAAUAUUGACUUUUUUUCAAAAUUAGACAUUUAGUAGGUCAAAUAUAUAUAUUUCAUGCAUAUUAAGGAUUGGAUCAUAUGUUUGUAAUGGUAUAAUAGGUUUAAUUAGGUUUUAAUUAGGUUUUUUAAGAUUAAUGGUUUUAAUGAUGAUUUAAUCAAAAUUUAAUCGAUAUUGGGUCAAUUUAUAUUAUUUUUACUAAAAUUAUACUAAUUUUAUAUUUAUUUUUAACUUAAAAACUCUAAUAUAAUAUUUUCUAAUUUUCAGAUAUUUUUUGGAGGUUUUUUUUGAUAAUUUUGGGCGUACCAUUGUACCAUCGGUACACCUCGAUAUGUGUCGUACCGAGUAGGGCUCGGUACACCGGUAUAGAUCGAAAUUGCAAUUCUUGCCUUAGCCUGCUUUUUUUUCUCCACUUCCAUCACUGCCUCCACUUUCUCUUCCUUUUGCUUCACAUCCUCCUACUCCUCUCCUCUGGUGCCUUCCCUCUUACUAUUUGCUCUUUUCCGUCCUGACAUACUAUUUGUACAAACUAGGUACACACUUCCAAAUAGCAACCAGACACAAGCAUUGGAUGGAAACCUAAAAUCUUAAUUGUACCUACUUUUAGUCUGAUGAGAAAUAAUAUACUUUUUAUCUGAAACUAAAAAUGGGUAUUACAUGGUUUAUUAUAGUGGAGCCAUGAGUUUUUGGCUAUUUGCCAUUUGCCUGAACUAGACAGGUUAAAAGGCAAAUAUUUAUUUGGCCUUUGUGAUAUCAGGCUGCCCCCUUCUGUUAUAAUAGUGAAAAUUGACAAUAUUAGGGUAAAACAUGUUAAAAAAUUUUCUAUAGUUAAUGAAAUAUUGAGUUAGAUUAAUUAAAAGAGAACAAGGAUAUCAUUUAUUAGUCUAAUUAUCCCUUUUUUGUACUAGUGAUCUUGUAGGUGUUGGAUGAUCUUAGAUGUAUUCGAUAAUUUUCACUCAAAACUCAUCCUUUAAAUUAUUUUUUAAAUAUUAAUAAGUAGCAUAUGAGUUCGUUGAAAGAUUUGCAUAAGAUUUAUAUUGAUUACAAAAAAGCCUAUAAUAGAGGUCCUAUAGUUAUAUUAUUACGAGUUCAGAAUAGAAAGAUAUAUUUCCUUGAUGUCAUAAAAGAACGCAUAUGUUAGUGUAGUCAUUAGUGUUAGACCUAUAGGGUUUGUGUCGAGUUAGUUUCCAAUUAGUAUAGGUUUACAUCAAGGUUGGCUUUAAGUUUGGCCAAUUUUAAUUGGUAAUAGAUAAACUUACUUAUCGUGCACAUGAUGAAUCUCCAUGAUGUAUUUUAUUUGCUGAUAAUAUUAUUAUAGGUGAUGAGAGUUUAAAUGAAAUUAAUUGUGAACUUGAGCUAUAGAUCUAAAGAUAGUUGUGAAAUUAAAGAUUUUAAAAAUCAAAUAGGACUAAGAUUAGAUGUAUGAGAUGCAAUUUUAGUAAUACCAAGAGAAAAACUAAGGUUAUUGUUAAAUUUAUGAAAAGAAAGUUUUAAUAGGUAAAAUUUGUUGGCAUCUUUGAUCGAAUAUUUAACAAGAUGGAGAUUUUGAUGCUUGUUUAGUGACUAAAAAUCAGGUGACAAGAGUGGAUAAAGAUGCAAGGAGUUUUGUGUGACUACCUAGUACCUCAUAGAUUGAUACGACAUUUUAUAAGAUAAUUUUUAGGCCAAUUAUGAUGGAUAUGAGAAUUGAGCGAUUAAGAAAUAAUAUAUACAAAGAGUUUGUAUCAUUGAGAUGAGAAUGUCGAGAUGGAUAUGUGUGAUUAAUAGAUAAAAAUAAAUGUUUUGGUUUGUGAAUAAUUAAGUGUAACUUCGAUAAGUGAUAAAAUGAGAAAGCGUUUUUGAUAUGUGUGCGAUACCUAUAGAUUUUGUAGUUAGAGAAUGUGAGACAAUUUUUAUUAGUGAUACAAUGAGAGUUUGAGGAAAACCUUAGAAGUCCUUUCUGGAAACUAUAAAUAAAUAUUUAAACUCUCUUAAUUUAACUAAUGAUAUUUCUUUAUGCAUAGCACAAUGGCAGCAAGAGAUUUAUGUAGUCGAUCCCAAAUAGUUGGGAUAAUAUGGCUUGUUUGUUUGUUUAGCAGGAUAUGAAUUAGUUUUGGUGGUGUUUGUAGAUCCUCCCAAUUGAGGAAUUCAAUUUCGUUUGGAGCCGAUCAUAUCAACCUGUGUUUGCUAGCCUAUGCACAGAUUGAGAUGUGGAACAUCCUUUUUUGGAUGGUUUGAAUUUGGCAUAGGGUUUACCAUCUUGUAACCCAUUUGAACUGUUUGGUUUAGGCCUGAAAUUGGACCUAAACAGGGCCAUAAGAGCCUGGUCCAUUUUUUUUUAAUAUUUAGGGCCUAGAUCAGGCUCAUUCCAAGUGUUUUUUCAGAAGUGGAGAAUGAAGAGCUAAGAAUUAAGUAUGGUGGAGGACUGAAAGAAAAAUAUUUUCAGAAGUGGCUGAACUCAAAAGUGGCCAUUGAUACUUAUAAUAUUAUUAUAUUUUAGUGCUGGAUUAGUUGAUGGAGGUGAACAGUAGACUGUUGGUGAGAUUAAAAUGAGGGUUUUAAAGGAUUACUUCUUCCGAAUUCCAAACUGCAUCUAUGGAGAAGCUUUUCCUUAUAUAUAAUUGGAGACUUGGAAAUAAACUGAAAAGCGGAGGUGAACCAUGUCCACCAAUUCGGUCCUUAGGAUUGGGAUCAUUUCAAGAUUCAACUUAUGGAGAGCAUUGUUGUUGAUGAACAUAACUCUAGCAUGGAGAAUAUAAACUCAAAGUUUUAAUGUUGAAAACACUAAGCAAAAUUAAAAUAUAUAUGCUAACUUUUUUAUUUUAUGAAUCAGGAUACAUAUGAUGAGAUUAAACACUCAUAAAACAUGGUUUCAAGCAAUGCUAAUUAUUAUAUUUGGUACAACACACAAAUUGGGCGGUAUAGUUCAAGGUUUGACGAACCAUCCAAAAUGGUAUGAAAUGGGUGUUAGGUAUUGGUUUGCCAAUUGGUUGAUACUUUGACUUGUUCGCGUUGGGCAGUACAUAGAAAAGGAUCAAGUACUGGUUGAUAUGAUCAAAACUCAUGCUGUAUCAAUCGACACGAAUAUGUCGUGGUUGGAAUUUGAUCGAUACCGACUUAAAUCGAGUCAAGUUUGACCCCAAUAGUCAAAUUGACCAUUGGGGCCUCUUUUGGGGCUUUAAAUCCCCUCUUUCCUCACUCUUUUACUCACUCUCAUUCUCACUCUUUCUCACGUUCUCGCUUGUGAUUAAAGUACCUAGUUGGCGAUUAGUGAUAAUCAAGCUUUGGAUUUGGAUAAAAGAGGAGUUGGAACUCGAGAUCUAAUGAAUUUAUCUCCAAUUUGAAGGUAUUUAGCUUAUUUUUAUGUUUUAUUUAUCAUUUCAUAUAAUUAGAGGCAUACUAAUGCAUAUUUAUAAAGAUUAAACAUGAUUAAGGUAAGUAUCUUGUGUAAAUCCCAAUUAGCUCUAUUGUCUUAAAUUUAGGCCCGAAUUGGGGGUAUUUAGGUUAAUAACAACCUUAUGCAUUUAUUAUGUCUUAUAUACUCUCUCUUCUUAAUUAAAUACAAUAAAAUUAUCAUUAAUUUGGAUUAAAAACCUAAAAUAGUUUUUUUUUGUGAAUUUUCGUCCAUUUUUAAGCCUCUUUCCGAAAAGGGCUGAUCGGUAUGUGCUGAUAUGUAUCGGUCCACCUAUGGACUGAUAACAGUGGUUAUUGACCAUUUUAAUUUUUUUUAAUUUUUUUUAAAAAAUUAAGAUUUACCACCUUGGUACAAUUUAACUGUGGUUAUUGACUGAUCCGAAAAGGGCUGAUAUGGUACAAUGAUCCUUGGUACAAUCUACCACCUUCUCAUCCAAUAUCAAUAUUUUUUAAAAUUUAUGACAAUUGUUGUAGAGCUUAUUGGAUGGUACGGAGUCCAAGUCGAAGGGUGCUGGAAAGUAAGCCUCCUUUGCUUGGUACCAACAUUUUCUUUAAGAUAGUUGUUGAUUCUUUUUAACAUUUUCCUCUCUCUGCUUCUGUCUCUUUUGUGUCUUUUGACUCUUGCUCCCUAUAGACCGUCAUCUCCUCUUCCUCUCCUUGUGUCGUCACUGCCACCUUUCAUUAUGCGUGGCCACAUUCUUUUCCACCUCUUCUCUUCCUCCCUCACACCUCUGCUUCCUCAUUUUCUCCACCUCAUCCCCUCUUCUAUUUCUCUUUUGUUUGUUUAAUUUUGCCCUCAUUUAGGGGGUAGUUGUAUUGGUUGACAUGGGGGCAUACUGACAUCGGUAUGCCAACGAUAGUGGUUCAACCACUAUCGACAGUGGAUCAAGAUUUGAAACCUUGGUUUCAAGUAGAGAUUGGGUAUGCAUGGAUUGUAGACUUUUCCGUAUGCAUGUAUUGCCCAUAGAAGGGCAAGCCUUGGUGCCACGACAAGUUUGCUUGUUUGCAACUUGGGUGGCCAGAGUUCAAGUCACAGAAACAACCUUGCAAAGUUAAAACCGUGUACAUGGCAAUCUGAGAUCCCACACAAGUGAGAAUCUCUAUACACUGGGGUCAUCCUUUGUUGUGUAUUGUUGCCACCAUUAAUCAUAUGCUAAAUAGGAGGCAAGGGAUGGACCCAUGAUUUGUGGACUUCUUCUAAUCUAGAGGAUUUGAUGAGUAUUAUUUUCAUAUUAAUACUCCUUAUGCGGCCAAGGCUACUGGCAAGUUGCCUUGAUCUGUUUAAUUUUUUAAAGAGUGCAAACAUUUGGAAUUAUUGAAGUUUAGGGUGUUGGUUUUCCACGAUUAGAACUUUAAAUGCCCAGCUACAAGCAACUACCAAACUGUAAUUACUUUUAGAUGCCUAUAAAGUGGGUGCUGACUUGCAGUUGUGGCUACAACCUACAGUCAAAUUGGUAAAUUACCUAUGAAUAAUGCCAAUGUAAGUGAUAUUUCAGACAAGUGUAGUAAAUUUCUUCUAUAGCGUGCAAAAAUUGCAUUUGCAAUUGCAAACCGGUUUGAGGCAAGCAAAUACACUUAUAUUCGCAAAUCAAUGCAUUCCUUUUCACAUGUAAUUGCAGAAGCAUAGGUGACCAAACAUGUCCUUAAUAUGAUUCCUGUUGUGCUAGUUGCAGUAUGCUAUUAUUGAAAUAUUAAAGGUUGUUCAGCUGUCAAGUUCAUGUCUUCUAAUAUUACACAGUUCAUCAUUAUAUUUUGGGGCUACUAAUUUGAAGUUUAUUAAGGGAGACAAUGAACCCUUCCUUGAGAAGGAAAAAGGAUUAUAUAAUUUUUCUCUUGUUUACUUGUUGAAAUUUAUUGGAAAGAUGGCUUCACUCUCUGGGCAGAUUCCGCAUAAGUGGGAGCCUUGCACUGGGAACUUUUUUAAGUUUCACUUUGUAGCCAAUUUAUUUAGAACACAAAUUAAGGGGAUGCAUGAAAAUAAGUUGCAUGGGAAUUAAUUCAACAAAUUACCUCAAUAGGACCACAUUUGCCUCCAUGUUUCGUCAAUGUGAUUCCACGAAGUAAACAAAGUAAAAGUGAAUUAUGUUUACAAGGGUAACCUUGUUAACACCUAUGUGAGACAACCUGGUUUGCAAGAUUUUCUUGAUUUAAGCUCAACAUAGUUUGUUUUAUUUGGGAACAUAUGUUUUGUUUCUUUAACAAGGACAUAUUGUUAGUGAAAGGUACUCUAGUUGGUUAUAACUGCAGACUUGCAGCUUUUUGGUUAUAUAUUUUGGCUAGUUUGGUUUUAUUUCAUUUGGCUAAAGUUGCAGUAGUGAUAUCAGAUUGUUGUUGUUUGUGAAUUACAAAGGGUGAGAAGCUUCAUUCUUUUUUUCUUUGAUUUUUGAAUUACCAAGGAUGAGAAACUUAAGCAUCAUCAAUUUGUGGGGUCCAUUUGUUGUUGGAGGACGAGCAGGUUGGUUAAUUUCUUUGGGAUUAUGAUUUUGUCAUUCAUUGCUAGUGCAAUCUUUCUUUCUCAAAAUUCAAGCAGCUUAAUCGUUUCUACUUGGCUUUGAUGCUUAAUCAUGUCACCUUGUUGUAUUUAUUUUUCUAUGGCCUGAUUGCCUUUUGAUGCAAGCUUGCAACAUUUUUUUUUUGCACAUAACAAGGUGCAGGAGUGCCUGUCCACCUUUGUCCAUCUUUUCCCUUUCUUUGUUUUCUUCCAUCAAUCCAUGUGCCGUGUUUUCUCCUCCAACAAUCAAUCCAAUGCUUACCUCUGUUCACAGCUGGAGUUGUAUUAGAUAGUGUCUUGAUUUAUUGAUUUAUUAUAUGGUAUCACUUGUAGGUAGGACCAGAACAAUUCAUGAAACUGUUAUUUUCAGGCAUUACAUUAUCAACUGAAUGCAAGAGAAGUUGAGUUUCUGUUGGUUGGUAUCUGCUUCUGGUGCAAUUUAUCAACUUAAUGCAUUUUUACCACAAAAACGGAAUCAACAUACAUGCUUUAAUUACCAUGGGGAAUUUUUUGUCAUCAUGCAGUGAAUAUUUUGAUGCACAGAGGAUAUGUAAAAUCAAACUUGCAUAUAUACGUCUGUCCAGAAUUAUUGAUGCUAUUUUUAGUUUGAUUGUGUCAAUCAGGUUCUUUUUGACUUCGGGUAUUUCUUUCAAAACCAUUGAGAUUCUCACCAUUUUGAUGUCAGUAAAAAAUCUACUAAGUUGGGAUGAUCGAGUUUAGACCAUCUUUGACUCAGGCCUGACUAUUUGAAAUAGUUCACCUUUACCAGAGAGCUUUAUUGGCUAUUUGCUGACCUUUAGUGAGACAAAAUGUGUAAUUUUAUUAGAAGUGUGAAGGAACUUGGAAUUUUCAAGCAGUGGCAUUUGCAUCUGGAUGAUUAGUUCUAUAGUUUCUCUGCUACAGUUCUGCUUGAUCUUCACCAUCUUUUUUAGUAGUUGCAACUAGAUUAUAGAGAUAAUCUGGAUAGAUGGAAGGGGGUAGAGAUUGGAAGGAGGGCCAUAUUAUCUAGAUCAGAAACAUGGAGAUGAAAUGUUUGUGCAUUCAAUCCUCUUUCCUUUGUGUCACAUAAACAUAACUAGGUCAACAGGAUAGAAAUUUCACAUAAACCAUCUUUGUUGAUGGUUUUUUGAGUUGUGAUAUAGCUGACACUUUUUAUAUUUCUAUUUGUCCGUUGAUAUUUUUCUUUCUUUCUUGUUUUCUCAUAAAAUCUUUUUACUUAUUUUUCAUUCACGUUUUAGUAGGCCCCCAUAAAUUGUUACCUUUUGUUAUCAUUUCCUCCUGAGGAGCCUAGCAUACUAGCUGUUUUAGACAAUGCAUUCCCUUGUCUAGAGGUCUUCUGUGUUUUCUGGGGCUAGUAUGUUUUAGACAAAGCAUACUAGCCCCCGUAAAUGAGUCUGGCAUCUCAUUUACAGAAGACCUCUGGAAAAUUGUCCUGAGGUCUUCUGUUUCUAGUGGAAGUCAUUUUUGCUUGUCAAUUCUUGCUAGUUUAGAGAUGAAAAUAACUAAUUUUUAUUUUCUUUGUGACUAAUAUGACAGUUAUACUUUGUAUGAUUUUCAGGGACUGUAAUAACUUGUGAAGUGGAAAGUUUUCAAAUUUAAUAUAAAAUAUGCCUCGUAACUUUACAGAGUUAGUUUUCUUUAAAUAAAGGACCUUUUAUUUUGUGUUUUUCUAGGAAGUUGUAUUGUUAGAUAAUUUAGCUGCCGUGGUUUUCAUUGUUAGAUAACUAUCACGGUCGUAACAGAACUGAAUUGCCAAGUUUUUCUUAAAUUGGAAAAAUAAUAGUAUGCUUGAUGUCUGUCGAGGAACUGGGAAGACUUGGGGUAUUGUGGUAGCUCCAGGAAUUUUGCAUUUGCUAACAAUACUUUUGUCCUGUCAAGUUAUUCUGUUUAACUGCACCAUACCAAGAUACUCAGAUUGCCAUCUCUUUUGCUCGUGUAUUCGCUGUGUUGCUGUUGCGAGUAAAGGUAUGUUUGCCAAUGCCAAUGUGCCCAUUUUGUGCUCGGUGACGUAGCAUCUUGUAUUUUCAAUGGUUUCUUUAUUUUUGGUGCCUAAAGGCGCAUUGCUUUUCUUCGGAAUUAAGAGAAUACUGUGUAAAUACUCGUUCAACCACGGCAUUUCUUUCAUGAGACUUAUUUAUCUAUUGUCGUUGGUGCAGAUGUGUGGAAGUUGUAAGUGAUGAAUUUGGGCGAAAGGGCGCACCUAUCAGAUUUGUUUGUCAAUUAGAAAUGGGACAAUAAAAUUCUCAAAAUUAAUUUAUCAUAAAUAAAAUAGUGAAAUAAUCUUAAUUUUUCUUUAUACACUUGUGAUCGAUAAGUUUAAUAAAAUUUAAAAUAAAUACACUUUUGCCU